UUGUUUACGGCUCGCGUAGGGAAAGAGACACUCAAUGCUCGCUGUGAAAACAAUACAAAGAAAUUUUACCUGGAAGCGUUGGUGCAAAAUCUCCAAUUCUGCGGCGUCGUGGACGUGCUUAGCGAUUGUGACUCAUACUCCAAGUUCUAAGGAAGGAACAAUAAAGCAUAUGCUAAGGAGAGAUGUGCAGGACAGAAACCUCACCUUGUAAUAGACAUCAAACAUCAGGUCGCUGCCUGCAGCAAGAGCUUUGUCAGCUACACACAACUGUGAGCUCCAACCACCACACGGCACGGACCUGAGCCCUCUGUUCUCUGAAGCUCUGAGUCUUUGACCAUUGAUGUCUUAUUGCCCCAGACGGCUUCAUCUGCUCUCACUGUUUCAAGCCCUUCCCACACAGUCUGUGGCUGCCUCCUGUGUGCACAGGAGGUUAGACACACAGCCAGACAUGCACCCCAUGGGGGAAACUCCAGCUCUGAUGCUCUGAGCUAGGUGAUCUCAGGCCAAAAUUUUAAAUUCUAUCAGCAAAGCAAUUGAUUCUUCUGUAAAAGAGUAAACGC
rnacentral:lncRNA from 1 species